rnacentral:rRNA from 1 species
AUUGAACGCUGGCGGCAGGCCUAACACAUGCAAGUCGAACGAGUGGCGGACGGGUGAGUAAUAUAUCGGAACGUGCCCAGUAGCGGGGGAUAACUACUCGAAAGAGUGGCUAAUACCGCAUACUCUUGGAGCUGCCCAUCUCGGAUUAGCUAGUUGGUGGGAUAAAGGCUCACCAAGGCAACGAUCCGUAGCUGGUUUGAGAGGACGACCAGCCACACUGGGACUGAGACACGGCCCAGACUCCUACGGGAGGCAGCAGUGGGGAAUUUUGGACAAGGGGGGAAACCCUGAUCCAGCCAUCCCGCGUGUAUGAGAAGGCCUUCGGGUUGUAAAGUACUUUUGGCAGAGAAGCGGUAUCUGCAGAAUAAGCACCGGCUAACUACGUGCCAGCAGCCGCGGUAAUUC